UCAGAAGGUGCAUGCCCACAG
rnacentral:misc_RNA from 1 species